rnacentral:rRNA from 1 species
UUCGGAUUGCAGGCUGCAACUCGCCUGCAUGAAGUCGGAAUUGCUAGUAAUCGCGGAUCAGCAUGCCGCGGUGAAUACGUUCCCGGGUCUUGUACACACCGCCCGUCACACCAUGGGAGUCGGAAAUGCCCGAAGUCAGUGACCCAACCGCAAGGAGGGAGCUGCCGAAGGUGGAGCCGGUAACUGGGGUGAAGUCGUAACAAGGUACC